rnacentral:rRNA from 1 species
GAUGAACGCUGGCGGCGGGCCUAACACAUGCAAGUCGAGCGAACACACGAGGAGCGUUCUCUCCUGACGGUAGCGGCGGACGGACGAGUAAGACGUGCAUAACAUACUAAUAAGACGGGGAGAACAUCGUGGAACCGGAGCCAAUAAUGGCUAAUAUGUUGAACGGCAGGGCGCAAUAGAUAAAGAGGCUUUGGCCGUUACUUACAGACGAAGCCGCAUUAGCUAGUUUGGAGGGUAACGGCUCACCAAGGCAACGCUCCGUAGCUGAUCUGAGAGGAUGAUCGGCCACACUGGAACUGAGACACGGUCCAGACUCCUACGGGAGGCAGCAGUAGGGAAUAUUCCACAAUGGGCGCAAGCCUGACGGAGCCAUGCCGCGUGAGUGAAGAAGGCCUUCGGAUCGUAAAACUCUGUUAUUAGGGAAGAACAAAUGUAUAAUUAACUAUGCCCGUCUUGACGGUACCUAAUCAGAAAGCCACGGCUAACUACGUG